rnacentral:lncRNA from 1 species
GGGGAGCCGAGCGGUGCCGAAGCGCGGGCGGAAAAGGCCGAGGGGCGCACGAGGGGCGCGGCUCCCGGUGAGGAGGAGGCAGUGUCCGGCGACGCCCCGCCCCCGGCACUCAGGUGCGCGGCGCCGGGCCAGCGGCAGCCUCGUGCCUUGCGCCAACCCUUCCCCCGGCCAGCCGCUCCCUGCCUGCGGCGGGUCGCACCGCACAUUCCUGGGCCGCCAGCCGCGGGGUGUCCGGCCUCCUGGCGCUUGCGACUCUGGGGCGGGAACGGCACUCCAACGCCCCUCUCCCGGCUCCCCUCUCCUCCUCGCUAGUCUCCCGCCACUCUUCCUUUUAAGUACAUAAUUUUAUUUGAACGAAAGUUUCGAAUAUUGCCAAGGGGGAAAGUGCGAUCGACUUGUGAAGAUUCAGGAGCUAACUGGCCAGGAUGAGAAAAUACCCACUCGUUUCUCUUCUUGGUCGCUGACCCCUUUUGAAAUGUCUUAGGAUGGUGGACCUGAGGAAACCUAAGGAAACGCAUCUCCUGGUGAAAAGGAAUCGCCUAAAAAGAAAGGCUAAAACUGCCCCGUGAAUUAUUAAGAGAGUUUACUAUUACCUUAGGCUUGCAGAAGUAUCAAACCUCCUUUGGACACUUUAUUUUAUUGGUGAUGCUGACCCUAUUUGGAAUGUUCCUCUUAACCAUUCUAUAGGCCUUCUCUUUCCAGAAUAGUAAAUUCAGCAGCAAAACUCCCUGUCAAAGUACGAAAGCUGCAUUGAUUUUGAUUUGAAAUGAGCUGGAGCGGUGAUAGUCUCUAUUUUUCCAUCCUUACUUAUCCUUACAUUUACAAGAUUUACAAGUUAUUGAAGAUUUCUGGAUCAGGGCUGGGUGGGCUACCAUGGGCAGACACCAGAGUAGACUGACUUCACUAUAUCCAAAUAAUAUCAAAUGUCAGGGCACAUCAUUGUUGUAAGCCCCAAAUGCUAGGUCUCUGUUUUGUAAAAAGUAGGAAGGCCUGAGCCACACUCUUCCCUAACAAAAACUGUUUGUCCUACUUAAUAUUCCUACUUAAUAUUUGGACCUGGUAGUAUAUGGAAGGUGGGUAAUCAAUGUGUGCCCGCUGUGGGAAUGAGAAAAUGAUCCACAUGCCCUGUAUUUGUCAAAGACAAAGUCACACAGUUCUGGGCUUUGGUCUGACUGUUGGGGUUCUGGAAAAUUCAGUGGAAAAUUAAAGGCCUUCCUUGGGAAUAGGUUUAAAUGGCUGAGUGGCCAUUUGCCUACCUGGUAUCUACCUAGGUGCACCACCUGAAAUUUCUCAAUUACAGAUUCACUACUUUGUUUUAUGAGUUUUAAGAUGGGGAAAAGGGGAUUUGAGUAUUAAAUGUAUGCAGAUUAAUGGGCUUUCAUAACUUCUCUGAGGAUUUUCUCUUUGAGGGGCUGUAGGAUAUAGUAGAAAGAUGAUAUAGUCAGUAUGGGUACAAACAUGUUAAAUACCUGCAAGAUCUUGAGCAUAUGUUUAAAUUCUCUGAAACUCAGCAGCUUUCUUGACUAUAAAAUCAGCAAUAAUGACUUAUUUUAAAGUGAUACUGCAAGUAGAAUGUGCUUUGUUCAGGAAGGCACUCAACAUAGUACCUCCUAUUAAUAAGAUAGCAGUUAGAAUCUUGGGUUUCUAAGAAGUGUCUGGAGAUGGUUAAAAAAAAUGAGGGACUGAAUAUACAAUAUUAACCUGAAAACAAUAGACUUUGAAUGAACUAGGAUAACACUUAUGUCACAUAAAUUUGUCACUGCAUCACUUCUACCAGUUCUCUUAGUAUUAAAUAGACUCUUGAGUCAGGAAUGCUGGCUACUAUAGACUUGUGUGGCUUUGAGCAAGUUGGUUAACUUGUGUGCCUCUGUUUACUUACAUAUAAAAUGGGGAUAAUAAUACUUCCUACAUUGUCAGAGUGUUGUGAAAGUGCCUAAGGUCCUUAGAUAAAAGGUAGUAUGUGAGUACCAGAGUAGUUAUUAUUGGUCUAUAAAGUGCCCUAGGAACUACAGAUUAAAGAGAUUAUUGAGGUACAAAGCACUGUUUUAUUAUUGUUAUCAUUUAUUAUACCUUUUGUCUUUGCCAUUCUCAGUAUUCCCAAAGAUAUUUCACAGCCAGGCUGCUCCCAACAUUGCACCAAGAUAUUUUUAGCUGAGUUGGUCCUACAUUGUUUACACAUCAUCAAUCUUUAUGUAUAGAGUUCUGAUGUAAUAAUCCUCAAAGACUCAGUGCUUGAUUUCUCAACUUCGGCAUUAUUGACAUUCAGGGCUGGGUAAAUUUUUGUUCUGGGGUUUUCCCUGUUCAUUGUAGGAUAUUAAGCAGCAUCAUUGAUUUCUACCUACUAGAUACCAGUAUCCUCCUCCCUCCUAUCCCCAUUGUGCCAUUGCCAAAUGUUCAGGAUUGGUGAUGGGGUCCUGGGUGACAAUGAGAACCAUUGAAUUGGCCUGAAAUAACUAAUUUUAGUGACCCAUUGCCCUUAAUAGUAAAGAAAAAUAUGAUGAUGCUAAUAAAACAAUUUAUUUUUAAAUGUCAUAGUGAAGCUUAUUAUAUAUGUUAAGUCUUACUUAAUGUUUUCCAGACAGUGGAUUAGCUAUGCUAUGAUGUGAAAUAACUUGUUUCUAUAUGUUGAAAUAACUAAUAAUAUAUUGGGAAAUAGCCACUUUGACUUCAAUGCAAAUAUUUCUGGAACAUAUCCUUAAAUCAAAAUAACACAUUUGCAUACUAUAAAAAGUUAAAUAAUUUAGUUCCAGAGGAUUAUAACAAAAGACAGCAAUCCCUUCUUACCGUCCCAAUUACAAAAAACCCUUAUGCAGAAAUUUCAACUCUUCUUACUGUUUCUGCUCUUUGUGAGGGUUUUUUAAAAUUAAAUUAUUUAUGUAUUCUAAUUUGUUAUACAUGAUAGCAGAAUGCAAUUCAUUUCAUAUUACACAGAGCACAAUUUUUCAAGUCACUGAUUGUACACAAAGUAUUUUCACAUCAUUUGUGCCUUCAUACAUGUACUUAGAGUAAUGAUGUCUAACUCAUUCCACAUCAUUCCUACCCCCUUAACCCCUCUCUUCCCCUUCCUCCCCUUUGCCCUAUCUGAAGUUCCUCCAUUCUUCCCAUGCCCCCCCAUUGCCAUUAUGAGUCAGCAUCCUCAUAUCAAAGAAAAAAUUUGGCCUUUGAUUUUUUGGGAUUGGCUUACUUUACUUAGCAUUAUAUUCUCCAACUCCAUCCAUUUACCUGCAAAUGCCAUGAUUUUAUUCUCUUUUAAUGCUGAGUAAUGUUCCAUUGUGUAUAUAUAUCAAAGUUUCCCUAUGCAUUUAUCAUCUAUUGAAAGGCAUCUGGGUUGAUUCCACAAUUUAGCUAUUGUGAAUUGUGCUGCUUGUAAGAGUUUUUUAAUGUACUUAUCUACUAGUGUACUUAAUUUUUACAUUUUUAGAUGUCCUACUAAAGGAGAGGAUUUAGCUGUCUUAAGCUAUACAUAUACUUUUCUUACUCCUAUAUUCCCACUGUAUUUAUAUCAUAAUUCUUAUUGAAUACAUAUUCAAUGUGUAUAGUAUGGUUACAAUACAAAUACAGCAGAGCUAUGUGGUAUACUAUGAAUGCAUUUCUGUCAUGUCUUUUACAAUUGUUUUUCCUUAAAGAACCACCAUUCCUGGGGCUGGGGAUGUGGCUCAAGCAGUAGCAUGCUCUCCUGGCAUGCCCAGGUUCCAUCCUCAGCACCACAUACAAACAAAGAUGUUGUGUCCACCGAAAACUAAAAAAAAAUAUUAAAAAAUUCUCUCUCUCUUUUUUUUUAAAAAAAGAACCACCAUUCCUUUUUCUGCAGUUACAACUCCCCAUUGUUUGUUUUAAUCACUGUCAUGUUUUUCUAUAUACUAUACACAAAUUUACACCCACAUUGGUAAUCUAUCAGUUCUGUUUCUCUUUUUUUUUAGGGACAUCUCUCCUGGAGCCCUCUAUCCCCUGGAUUGAUUUUAAGCCCUCUUUCUCUGUCGUCAUCCAGGAAUUAUGUUUUUAUUAUAACACUUGGAAUCAUUUUCUGUGCAGACCACUUAUUUCCCAAAUUCCAUAUUUUCCUUCUUGUUGUUUCUCACUUAUUUUAGUGAAGUCCAUCCUUAGUAUAUUCUGGAGAUGGUAUAAAUUACACAUUCAUGGAGACUGUGCAUGAUGGAAAUUAGUUUAAAUUUGUCUUCCCAGUUGAUUAAUAGUUUGUUGGGAACAGAACUCCAGGUUGGAAAUCAUUUUCCUCCAUAAUUCUGAAGUCAUCAGUAUAUUGUCUGCUAUUUUCCAGAGUUGCUGUUUCAAAGACUGAUUCCUUUCUGUUUUCUCCCUGAAAGCUUUUGAGUCUUUCUUAAUGAGAGUUCCUGAAAUAUCUUGAAGAUAUGCUCCGAUUUGAUCUUUUUUCAUUGUUGUUAGCUUUACAGUGGACCCUUUUAAUCUGCUAUCUGCCCUCCAGUUGGGAAAUUCCCUUAUCCUAUUUCUUUGAUAAUUCUUUCCUUUUAUUUUCUCCAUUCUCUCUUUCUAAAACUCCUGUUAAGUAGGUAUUAGACUGUUAGGAUUUCUCUAAUACAUUUUUAAUCUUUUCUGUCCUAUUUUCAGUCUUUUGGGGGAUUUUAUUCUACUUUUAUUGACAUUUUCUCCAUUUUAUAUGCCAGCAUAUUAAGUUUCUAUUUCUGUCACUACUUUUUUCUAAGAUCUGUUUCUUGUUCUUUAAAUGUUCCUUUUCCAUAGCAUGCUGUUUUUUAGGUCACAUUUAUAGUAUCUUUUCCCUCCCUGAGGAAAUGUCUUUAAUUUCUACUGAUCCUGCACUGUUCCUUGCCUAUAUUUCCCUUCUUUCCUUCUUGUUUAAUCUUAAUCUUUCAAGUGAGAGCUUUGUUCAUCAAUCAUCUGUUCAUUCAUCUUUAAGAUUGAUUGAAGCACUAGAAAGUUGAUUGGAAGCCCUUCUGUGAAAGGGUGGAACCUGAUGACUUAUGGGUGUAGGUUUAAAAAGACCCAGGCAUUUUGUGGAGGCAUGUGUCAUGUCCUACAUAUGUCAGCAUUUAUGCAGCUUCUCUUUUGGUUGCAUCAGUUUCCAUAAGAAAAAUGUGUCCCUGCCUGUGUUGUCUGUUGCCAACUGUCUCAGGUGCCAAGCAAGGAAGGAGGACAGGGGGAGUCUCAUUACUCAAUCUGCAGGUUUCUAAUGAAUGCAUAAGCUCAGUAUGCCUGGCAUUCUCAAGUGCAGUGCAUCUGUGAUUCAACAUCUGCAGAAGGUGAGUUUUCAGUCCUCCAGCAGGAUCAGGAGAAAGAGCUUUCCUUGCUAAUGAGCCCUGCAGAGGGCACAUGAAAAUCCAGCCAUUCUUGUGUCAAUUUUGAACUAAUCUUUCUGUUUUCUCUCCAUCCUUUGCUCCUUUUCAGAAUUAUAUGCUGCUGCUUACAAUUUCCAAAACUUUCUUCAGGGGUCUGCAGGACAAAAAGGAUGACUCCUUAUUGACUCUGUCUCCUGUACAUCAUUAGAACUCAUCUUUACCUGCUGUUAUCCAUCUUGCAUCUUCCAGUGUUACCUUCUUAUAUCCCAUCCUCUUCAUUGUUACUGGUUUAUCAUUUUAUCUUUUGUUUUAGUGAAGUGACUUAAGUGAAAAAAGGAUAAACGUGUGUUUAAUCUGGUGUCUAUAGUAGGAAAUCCAAUUCAUCUACUUUGCAGAUUUCCAGAUACUGAGAAAUGUGCUCUGUAGGUUCAGAUCAGUAGAGACCUUUACAUCUUAUUUCUUUACUCAUUGAAUUACACAUCUUAAGCCACUACUGAUUAUCACUGUAAGAAAGAACUUUACAAAAUGUUUUAUUUUCUGUAGGCUGUUUUUAAUAUGUGGUCCCAUUACAUUAUACGAUGCUUCUAUUAUUUUUUUAAAAGGGGGGAAAUUUUCUGACAUCUGUGUUACUUACUGAUGUAUUUCUCUUUUCCAGCUGUUUCAUUUUCUUUAACCCUAGUAAACUAUACAUUAUAUAGCUAGAGACUUAUCUUCUUGUAAUUGCUUACAGGUAAUCUAAUACCAGAAUUUUGGCUUUACCAGGAAAGAUCUGGGUUCUAUGGUACCUGAAGCUUAUACAAUUUUUGAACCUUCUUUAAGAAAGAAUAGGCAUAAAAAUAAAUAGUUUGAAUGAAAAUUAUUUUUAAUUAUGUUUAAACAAAUUGACAAAUUCGAUGAAUAUUUUAAAAACCUGACCUAUUCACAAUAUUGUUGUAUGUGUACUUUAUUAUUGAUUUUGUUAUUAUAUAUUGGUACAUAAAGUAUGUGUAAUUUCAC